rnacentral:rRNA from 1 species
CCCGCGUCUGAUUAGCUAGUUGGUGAGGUAAUGGCUCACCAAGGCGACGAUCAGUAGCUGGUCUGAGAGGAUGAUCAGCCACAUUGGGACUGAGACACGGCCCAAACUCCUACGGGAGGCAGCAGUGGGGAAUAUUGGACAAUGGGCGAAAGCCUGAUCCAGCCAUGCCGCGUGAGUGAUGAAGGCCUUAGGGUUGUAAAGCUCUUUUAUCCGGGAAGAUAAUGACUGUACCGGAAGAAUAAGCCCCGGCUAACUUCGUGCCAGCAGCCGCGGUAAUACGAAGGGGGCUAGCGUUGCUCGGAAUCACUGGGCGUAAAGGGCGCGUAGGCGGAUGAUUAAGUCGGAGGUGAAAGCCCAGGGCUCAACCCUGGAAUUGCCUUCGAUACUGAUCGUCUCGAGAGUGGUAGAGGUAAGUGGAAUACCGAGUGUAGAGGUGAAAUUCGUAGAUAUUCGGUGGAACACCAGUGGCGAAGGCGACUUACUGGACCAUUUCUGACGCUGAGGCGCGAAAGCGUGGGGAUCAAACAGGAUUAGAUACCCUGGUAGUCCACGCCGUAAACGAUGAAUGCCAGCCGUUGGGGAGCUUGCUCCUCAGUGGCGCAGCUAACGCUUUAAGCAUUCCGCCUGGGGAGUACGGUCGCAAGAUUAAACUCAAAGGAAUUGACGGGGGCC